rnacentral:rRNA from 1 species
AGAGUUUGAUCCUGGCUCAGGACGAACGCUGGCGGCGUGCCUAAUACAUGCAAGUAGAACGCUGAAGAGAGGAGCUUGCUCUUCUUGGAUGAGUUGCGAACGGGUGAGUAACGCGUAGGUAACCUGCCUUGUAGCGGGGGAUAACUAUUGGAAACGAUAGCUAAUACCGCAUAACAAUGGAUGACACAUGUCAUUUAUUUGAAAGGGGCAAUUGCUCCACUACAAGAUGGACCUGCGUUGUAUUAGCUAGUAGGUGAGGUAAUGGCUCACCUAGGCGACGAUACAUAGCCGACCUGAGAGGGUGAUCGGCCACACUGGGACUGAGACACGGCCCAGACUCCUACGGGAGGCAGCAGUAGGGAAUCUUCGGCAAUGGGGGCAACCCUGACCGAGCAACGCCGCGUGAGUGAAGAAGGUUUUCGGAUCGUAAAGCUCUGUUGUAAGUCAAGAACGGGUGUGAGAGUGGAAAGUUCACACUGUGACGGUAGCUUACCAGAAAGGGACGGCUAACUACGUGCCAGCAGCCGCGGUAAUACGUAGGUCCCGAGCGUUGUCCGGAUUUAUUGGGCGUAAAGCGAGCGCAGGCGGUUUGAUAAGUCUGAAGUUAAAGGCUGUGGCUCAACCAUAGUUCGCUUUGGAAACUGUCAAACUUGAGUGCAGAAGGGGAGAGUGGAAUUCCAUGUGUAGCGGUGAAAUGCGUAGAUAUAUGGAGGAACACCGGUGGCGAAAGCGGCUCUCUGGUCUGUAACUGACGCUGAGGCUCGAAAGCGUGGGGAGCGAACAGGAUUAGAUACCCUGGUAGUCCACGCCGUAAACGAUGAGUGCUAGGUGUUGGAUCCUUUCCGGGAUUCAGUGCCGCAGCUAACGCAUUAAGCACUCCGCCUGGGGAGUACGACCGCAAGGUUGAAACUCAAAGGAAUUGACGGGGGCCCGCACAA